CACAUAAACAGAAACAGGUUUUUUGAUCUCACGUGAGGCAUAUUUUCUGUCAGUAGGAACUUAACCCCAUCAGUUAUAUAUUUCUUCUUUUUCCCCAGUUAGAAUAGGCUCCUCGGACCUUAUGUGGAAGGAGUGAGGCUUGUCUUUAUAAACCAGAGAGACUGUCUCCACUUUAUCUGUUGAGCAUACAUAGUAGGUAAUAUCAGUGUUUGAUGGAUAUUGAUCUCCUCUGGAUCACUGGGGGCCGGGCUGGUUUAUGAUUAUUCAAUGAAGCAGCCAACAAUAACUCCACAAAUCAUCCUUUUCAAACUGCUGCUCAUAGCGUCCCUAGCGGUCCAAAUCCUGAAUCCAACUAGUAAGCAACAAGCUUCAUUAAUUUGUUGGUAUGUGUGUUUGUUUUGGAUUAUGUACAGGUUUUGUUAAGAUAUUAUAGACAGUUCUUUUAAGAUUGCCAUUUAUUUCUAGCUCUUGCCCGUUGUAUCGUGACCCAAUAUCGUCAAUGGAUGCUGGUAUAAUA